GACGAACGCUGGCGGCGUGCUUAACACAUGCAAGUCGAACGGAAAGGCCCUGCUUGCAGGGUGCUCGAGUGGCGAACGGGUGAGUAACACGUGGGUGAUCUGCCCCUUACUUUGGGAUAAGCCUGGGAAACUGGGUCUAAUACUGGAUAGGACCAUGCUGUAGGUGGUGUGGUGGAAAGAUUAGUUUCGGUAAGGGAUGAGCUCGCGGCCUAUCAGCUUGUUGGUGGGGUAAUGGCCUACCAAGGCGUCGACGGGUAGCCGGCCUGAGAGGGUGGACGGCCACAUGGGGACUGAGAUACGGCCCAGACUCCUACGGGAGGCAGCAGUGGGGAAUAUUGCACAAUGGGCGCAAGCCUGAUGCAGCGACGCCGCGUGGGGGAUGACGGCUUUCGGGUUGUAAACUCCUUUCAGCCAUGACGAAGCCCUUGUGGUGACGGUAGUGGUAGAAGAAGCACCGGCUAACUACGUG
rnacentral:rRNA from 1 species